rnacentral:rRNA from 1 species
UACGGAAGGCAGCAGUGGGGAAUAUUGCACAAUGGGCGAAAGCCUGAUGCAGCUAUGCCGCGUGUAUGAAGAAGGCCUUAGGGUUGUAAAGUACUUUCAUCGGGGAGGAAAAACAAAACUAAUAAUUUUAUUUCUUGACGUUACCCGAAAAAGAAGCACCGGCUAACUCCGUGCCAGCAGCCGCGGUAAUACGGAGGGUGCUAGCGUUAAUCAGAAUUACUGGGCGUAAAGAGCGCGUAGGUGGUUUUUUUAAGUCAGAUGUGAAAUCCCUGGGCUUAACCUGGAACUGCAUUUUGAAACUGAAAUACUAGAGUAUCGUAGAGGGAGGUAGAAUUCUAGGUGUAGCGGUGAAAUGCGUAGAUAUCUGGAGGAAUACCUGUGGCGAAAGCGGCCUCCUAAACGAAUACUGACACUGAGGUGCGAAAGCGUGGGGAGCAAACAGGGAUUAGAUACC